rnacentral:rRNA from 1 species
AUUGCCUACGGGACGCAGCAGUGGGGAAUAUUGCACAAUGGGGGAAACCCUGAUGGAGCAACGCCGCGUGAGUGAAGAAGGGUUUCGGCUCGUAAAGCUCUGUUGGGAGUGAAGAAAGAUAGAGGUAGUAACUGGCCUUUAUUUGACGGUAAUUACUUAGAAAGUCACGGCUAACUACGUGCCAGCAGCCGCGGUAAUACGUAGGUGGCAAGCGUUGUCCGGAUUUAUUGGGCGUAAAGCGAGUGCAGGCGGGUCAAUAAGUCU